rnacentral:lncRNA from 1 species
AGAAGAUUUGGACAAGAUGAACUCAAGAGUCUACCAUCAAAACAUCAAGAUAUCAAAACAUCAGACUUUACUGAUUAAAAACUCAGAUUCUCACUAAAACACACACAUGAAAAUAUCUGAACAAGACAAAGAAGAGAACCCUCUUACAAAAUCACAAAUAAAUGGUGGAUAGCAUGUCUGUUAUGUGUCCUCCAUUGACCUCCUUUCCUAUGUCCAUUAUCUAUUCAUGAAUCCUUCCAUCCAUGAGGUACUUUUUUUUUGUAAAUGACAAUCCCCCUUCAUACACUCUUGCAGCAGACAUUCUUUCCUAUCUACAUCCCCAGUUGUUUCAUAUAUGAACUUCAAUCCU